AGAUUGAACGCUGGCGGCAGGCCUAACACAUGCAAGUCGGGCGGUAACAGGAGAAAGCUUGCUUUCUUGCUGACGAGCGGCGGACGGGUGAGUAAUGUAGUGGGGAUCUGCCCGAUAGAGGGGGAUAACUACUGGAAACGGUGGCUAAUACCGCAUGACGUCUACGGACCAAAGCAGGGCUCUUCGGACCUUGCGCUAUCGGAUGAACCCAUAUGGGAUUAGCUAGUAGGUGGGGUAACGGCUCACCUAGGCGACGAUCUCUAGCUGGUCUGAGAGGAUGAUCAGCCACACUGGGACUGAGACACGGCCCAGACUCCUACGGGAGGCAGCAGUGGGGAAUAUUGCACAAUGGGCGCAAGCCUGAUGCAGCCAUGCCGCGUGUAUGAAGAAGGCCUUAGGGUUGUAAAGUACUUUCAGCGGGGAGGAAGGUGAUAAGGUUAAUACCCUUA
rnacentral:rRNA from 1 species